UACGAAGGGGGCUAGCGUUGCUCGGAAUCACUGGGCGUAAAGGGUGCGUAGGCGGGUCUUUAAGUCAGGGGUGAAAUCCUGGAGCUCAACUCCAGAACUGCCUUUGAUACUGAAGAUCUUGAGUUUCGGGAGAGGUGAGUGGAAACUGCGAGUGUAGAGGUGAAAAUUCGUAGAUAUUCGCAAGAACACCAGUGGCGAAGGCGGACUCACUGGCCCGUAACUGACGCUGAGGCACGAA
rnacentral:rRNA from 1 species